UUGGAAGGGCAUACUGAUUCGG
rnacentral:miRNA from 1 species